CCAUCUGCCCCCUGAAAUUAAUUAAAUGGCUGCAGUAUAAAUAACUGUACAAAGGUAGCAUAAUAAUUUGGCUUUUAAUUAAAGUCUAGUAUGAAAGAAUAAAUGAAAUAUAUACUGUCUCAAUAUUAUUAAUUUAAAUUAAAUUUUUAGUAAAAAUGCUAAGAUUUAUUUAUGGGACGAUAAGACCCUAUAGAAUUUUAUAUAUUUAUUAAUAUAAUUUAUAUACUUAUACUUAUAUUUAUAAAUAUAUUUAGUUGGGAGGACUAUUUAAUUUAAGAAACUUAAAUAUAUAUAAACUAUAAUUCUAGAAUAAUUUAUUAAUAUAGUAUUAUUAAACAAAAAAUAAAUUACCUUAGGGAUAACAGUGUAAUUUCUUUAUUAAGAUCAUAUUAAUAAAGAAGAUUGCAACCUCGAUGUUGAAUUAAGAUAAAUUUUAAAUGAAGAAAUUUAAAUAUUAAGUCUG
rnacentral:rRNA from 1 species